UGAGUUUUAUUACUUACUGAUUGAUUUAGUUUGUUGAUCCAUGUUUGAAGCUAACUAGAUUUUAACCCGCGGUACACCGCGGAGACAAUUUAUCUUUUUAAAGUUAGUAUAUUUUUUUUUUGCAAAUUGUAUCUAUCUAUAAUAUAUUUUUAUUUUAUAGUUUACAAUUGUUAUUAAGUAACGUCCUGCCAAACCCGUCCCGCCAAACCCGUCCCGCCAAACCCGUCCCGUAAAAAAACCAUUUAUUUAUAUUAAUGUUGAUCUUAUUUAUGAUAUGUUUAUAAAUCAUUGUCUAUAUAUUUUUGUCGAUGCGGGACGUUGAACCCACACAUUUUUUGCCAAUUGGUUAAUAUAUGUUCAUUUUUAACAUUUUGAAUCAUACAAUAUGACGGAAAAAAUUAAGAUUUUUUUAAACUCUAUAUAUUAUAUAAUGAUGUUAAAAAUUGUGAUAUA
rnacentral:sRNA from 1 species